rnacentral:rRNA from 1 species
GACGAACGCUGGCGGCGUGCUUAACACAUGCAAGUCGAACGGAAAGGCCCUGCUUUUGUGGGGUGCUCGAGGGGCGAACGGGUGAGUAACACGUGAGUAACCUGCCCUUGACUUUGGGAUAACUUCAGGAAACUGGGGCUAAUACCGGAUAGGAGCUCCUGCUGCAUGGUGGGGGUUGGAAAGUUUCGGCGGUUGGGGAUGGACUCGCGGCUUAUCAGCUUGUUGGUGGGGUAGUGGCUUACCAAGGCUUUGACGGGUAGCCGGCCUGGGAGGGGGACCGGCCACAUUGGGACUGCGCUACGGCCCAGACUCCUACGGGAGGCAGCGGUGGGGAAUAUUGCACAAUGGGCGGAAGCCUAGUGCAGCAACGCCGCGUGCGGGAUGACGGCCUUCGGGUUGUAAACCGCUUUCGCCUGUGACGAAGCGUGAGUGACGGUACUGGGUAAAGAAGCACCGGCUAACUACGUG